UACGGAGGGGACUAGCGUUGUUCGGAAUUACUGGGCGUAAAGCGCACGUAGGCGGAUUUGUAAGUCAGGGGUGAAAUCCCGGGGCUCAACCUCGGAACUGCCUUUGAUACUGCAAAUCUCGAGUCCGGAAGAGGUGAGUGGAAUUCCUAGUGUAGAGGUGAAAUUCGUAGAUAUUAGGAAGAACACCAGUGGCGAAGGCGGCUCACUGGUCCGGUACUGACGCUGAGGUGCGAAAGCGUUGGGAGCAAACAGG
rnacentral:rRNA from 1 species